GCCUACGGGAGGCUGCAGUGGGGAAUAUUGGACAAUGGGGGCAACCCUGAUCCAGCCAUGCCGCGUGUGUGAAGAAGGCCCUCGGGUUGUAAAGCACUUUCAGUGAGGAAGAACGCCUGGUGGUUAAUACCCAUCAGGAAAGACAUCACUCACAGAAGAAGCACCGGCUAACUCCGUGCCAGCAGCCGCGGUAAUACGGAGGGUGCGAGCGUUAAUCGGAAUUACUGGGCGUAAAGCGCGCGUAGGUGGCUUGAUAAGCCGGUUGUGAAAGCCCCGGGCUCAACCUGGGAACGGCAUCCGGAACUGUCAAGCUAGAGUGCAGGAGAGGAAGGUAGAAUUCCCGGUGUAGCGGUGAAAUGCGUAGAGAUCGGGAGGAAUACCAGUGGCGAAGGCGGCCUUCUGGACUGACACUGACACUGAGGUGCGAAAGCGUGGGUAGCAAACAGGAUUAGAUACCCUGGUAGUC
rnacentral:rRNA from 1 species